UGUAGAACUCUGCAUCAGUUCUAUAAGGCACUCUUUAAUCUGAAUCUUUCUAUUUGCUCAAGAGAAAAACAAGUCUGACUUGCAUCCCAUUGAAGAUUUAGAUUGGACAGUUUACAUCUUUCACCUGCGCCCCCGUAGCGUCCUCUACUGAUUUUUCUGUCCUACAUUGAUUUUUCCAGCAACCUGGGAAGUAACCUCAUAGGUGGUUUGGGAUGUCUUUUGGCUGUGCUUAAAAAUUUCUGACAGAUUUGCUGCACAUUUUAGGAAUAUGUUUCCUCUGAAUUGUGAUGAUUUCUUACACUACAUUUGCAAGCAUGUGUAUGCAUCUGCAGGAAACAUAGCCUGGCUCUGUGAAGGAAUACUGCUGUGACCGCAAAACUGUUUCUGUGGAAUUUUCUCCGGUGUGGUCAUCCUGCCUUCAGGUCAGUGAAUAGAUGGUGUUUGAACAGUGUCUGGCACAGAUACUUUAACCUUAAAGCUUAAUGUAUAACUGGUAUUUUUUCCCCUUCUGUGUCAGCAAUUGGCAACGGGACACUGUAAAUAAGGAUUCUGGUUUGUAAAUGGACGUCUGUUCCUCCAGGGGAGGGGAAGGCUGGAGUAAGCAGUUUUGAAAUUCAUGCUGUAAGUGAUAAGAUAAUUUGAGUAACCUGUAAGACCUGUGGAUUCACAGGUUUCAAAAACAGGAAAGUCUCUUGUUUGAAAACCCUCUAAAGCAACAUGUGGGCUUAGAAAAAAAGCCGGCUUGUGGUUUGGUGAUUGUACUUCCUUAUUGAUAUAAUGGCCACUGAUGCAAGGCCUCCUGGGAUUGCAGCGUGGUGACCGCAGGCCUGACGGUUACCCUGACUGGGUUCUGAAACAGCCCGGGGCUUUCAGCACAGAUGAGAAGUCUAAAAAUUUCCCUUUUCAUUUCCUCUCUUGUGUGACUUUGUCAUUUUUUAAAAAACUGGUCACAGAAAAGGGAAUUUUGCCCAUGCUUUUAAGGAGUUUAUCUCGCCUGAGUAGCUUCCCCGCCACUCCUCUAAAAUCCCUCCCCAAAAACCCCAAGUUAAAAAAAAAAAGAUCUAUUCUUGUAGAUUUUUUUUUGUGUGGGUCUAUGUUUCAUUCAUCUGCUUUUAGGCUGGAUUUAUAACAAGCAGAUCUUUUAAAAUGGUAUGAUUUUAAAAUAAAAUUUAAAAAACACGCUGAGAUCUUUCCAUAACUUUGGCUUCUGGGAGUUGAAAGCACAGGUACGUGCUACAUCUUCUGGAAACCUAACCCUCGCACGCCAAGUGGGAGGCUCUUUUGGUCAAAUACUCCCAGGACUUAUGCUAGAGUUCUGAAAUAAGUGAAAGCAGAUGCCGUUCCUGUGCGACACAGCUAACUGACCGCAGCCCAGAAAGUUUGGUUGCCUAGUUGUGUGGGGGCUGUCUUAAGCCCUGAAAACAUUCUGCAUCAGAACUCAGCUUCAUAAAGGGGUUCCUGCCCUCCUGUCUGUCCUGGAGGUAGUCAUGCAUGACAGCUUGUGGGCUGAUGGUGCAUUUAGGCAGCUGCUUUUCCUCCCUCCCUCCAGGAGGAAAAUAGAGCAAAAAGGUAGAACUUACUUCCACACCCAAGUUUCUCCUGAAAGCACUGUGCCUGUUUUGUUUGCUACACGUCUUAGGUAUGUAUGUUUGCAUCUACAUAAGCCCAGAGCUCAGGUACGCACAGUGCUCAGGUACACGCAGUGCACACACUUGCUAGCCACAUAUACUCUCAGUGCACACACAGUGCUCGUGCACACAUGGUAGUGCAUGAUGAAUCCACAUAGCAUCCAUGCACACACACAGUACCCACACACACGCGGUACAUACACAUGGCACCCCUGCACAUACACAGUAGACAUGCAUAACCCAGAAAGUGGUUCUUGCUCUCUCUGUAACCUUAAGACUUUGGCAGUUUUUGUUAACUCCCACACUUGGCAGGAUUACAUUUCCUUGCGGCCUCAAUGACGUGAUAGGGCAGAUUUAUUGGGCUUACAGAAAAAAAGAGAGAGGAGAGAGAGUGAGCAAGCGAAUAGUAAACUCUGCUGUGCAGUCAACCUGGGCCUUGGUUUUAAGGUGCAGAUCAUCAGGGCCAGGAGAGAAGAUUUGGCAACAUGGAGUCGUUUGGUGAGCGUCAGCAGGUUUCACCGGUAAUCUGCUAGAGCACUAAAACACAUACUUCCAAAGGUUGCCUUCUUUCAGUUCACUGAAAAAUAAAAGGAGCCCCAAGGCUGGACCAAAUAACAUACAUAAAUAACACAUGCAUGCCUGCAUGUGUUAUUUAUGUAUGGGCACAUGUUUAUAGCAUGCAUGCAUGUGUGCUAUGUGUAUAUACCAUGCACUUGCACACAUAUGCUGUGUGUGCAGCACACCAGAUGCCACAGAUAUGGUGGUGGCAGGGUCACUGACAGAGAGUUGGGGAGAUGCAGGUGUGAGGCAGGCCUGCUUGGGAACAGGUAAAUCACUUAAGGACACAGUGCUUUUCAUCUGCUUUGCUGCUCUUUUCCUCUUAAGCAGCAUGCGCUGAGAUUGCAGAAACCUGAAAGAUAGGCAAAGUGUGUAUCCCACCUCCCCUUCCUGCCUGACUCUUAAGUAAGUUUUCUUUAAGUAUCUUUUUCUUCAGCCUCAGGAAAAAGAGGACCUUAGAACUGAAGGAGCAAGGAUCCAACAUCACGCUGUUUUUGUUAGCUGCCUAUGUGUGUUUGUUUGCUGUGUAUCCAAAAGACAGAGGAGAUGAACAAGCAAAAGAAAAGAAACAAGGAAUCAGAUUGGAAAGACAGUAUGAGUUUGUACUUAUGAAAUAAAACUUCUGUCCCUCUACACAGGACCCGGAGUCUGUCCCAAUUUCCUGUCUCUAACCUCACUAGAUUUCUCCAGGACGUUACCUGUAGGAGGUACACAGUGUGAGGACACACUCUUUGCUUUUCCUACUUGGGUCCGCAUGAGUGUCUGGAGCUGCCCUUCGAGGAAGGGAAUAGAAGAAUGAUUCUGCCUCCCUGCUGAGAGGGACGUGGGUCCUGCGGGUGGUCGGGGUGAAGCUUCCUCUCUUUUCUGCUGACAGCAUUUCCUCAUUAAAUGCAGAGAUCUGCAAAAAGGGAAAACAAAAACACAAGAAGAAAAA